GGAGACAGGGCUGUAGUUCAGUGGUAGAGCAACUGCUUCGCAUGCAGAAGGUCCCAGGUUCAAUCCCCAACGUCUCCA
rnacentral:tRNA from 1 species